rnacentral:rRNA from 1 species
AACGAACGCUGGCGGCAGGCCUAACACAUGCAAGUCGAGCGAGGACUUCGGUUCUAGCGGCGGACGGGUGAGUAACGCGUGGGAAUGUGCCCUUCUCUACGGAAUAGCCCUGGGAAACUGGGAGUAAUACCGUAUACGCCCUAUUGGGGAAAGAUUUAUCGGAGAAGGAUCAGCCCGCGUUGGAUUAGGUAGUUGGUGGGGUAAUGGCCUACCAAGCCGACGAUCCAUAGCUGGUUUGAGAGGAUGAUCAGCCACACUGGGACUGAGACACGGCCCAGACUCCGACGGGAGGCAGCAGUGGGGAAUCUUAGACAAUGGGGGCAACCCUGAUCUAGCCAUGCCGCGUGAGUGAUGAAGGCCUUAGGGUUGUAAAGCUCUUUCAGCUGGGAAGAUAAUGACGGUACCAGCAGAAGAAGCCCCGGCUAACUCCGUG